rnacentral:lncRNA from 1 species
UCGCAAAUCAUUGAAAUUAUAACACAACAAUGGCAAAGGUCUUUACAGUAAAGAUAUUAAUUUAUUCAAACUAAAGGACAUAAACAUCACCGAAACUCUUCCAAAUUAAAGUAUGAAACAUUUUAGCUUAGAAACAUACCUAGACAAUUUCUUUAUUCAAACUUAACAUUUUCCAACAAGAACAAAUAAGCGAUAGGAUCAAGAAUAAUAGAUAUUCAAACUUUACAUUUUCCAACAAGAACGAACCCUUCUUCUUGGAAUUUCUGCAACAUUAUACUCUUGUGGAAAGAUAACAAGAGUUUAUACCUUCAUAUAUAAAUGCUCAAGUUCCUGCAAGAUUAAACAAUGCAAGAUUAAACAAUACUGGGAUUAAAAUUUACAACGAGAAUUAAUUAUUAGAGAUAAAUAGAUCGAUAAAACAAUAGUAGCCACAUAUAGAAGGGAUUUUACUUGGAAAAGAAAAUGUUCCAUACUAAUGGAUUGAGGUCCAUAACCAUGGGUUACAUGAAUGCACCAAAACCAAAGCAAGCCACCCUUGAGAGAAAUAAAUGAAUUCCAAGA